UUUUUUUUCACCCUGCUUUAAAAGCCCUUGGGCCCUUCCCAGCUGGGUGCCAGCCAACUGUGGCUGCCUGGGACACUCCAUCUUAAGUCCCUGUGCCUCUGCUGUGUGUUACUGAGUGCCUAGGCCGUGCCAGCCUGUAUUCAUCUGUACUAUGACCUGAAGAGGCAGAGGCCAUCACUGUUGGUCCGGUCUCCACCUGGGGAAACUGAGGUGUCUCUGUGGUGACGAGCAGGGCUUCAUCCAGUGCCUCUGUCCCCACCGAGGGGACUAUGGGAGACAUGGAGGGUGUGUGAGCAACAGGUGAGACUGGAGCCAGCUGAAAACUGGGAGACCGACCCAGCCAACAAACAAUGUCGGUCUCUGUCUUGGCACCUGCAGGAAACAAGCUCCUACUUCCAGAAAAAGUGCUCCUGGGACUCCAGGAUACCAGGCAUCUGGGUAAGCUACAAUGCUUAACCACUUAACACAAUCAGGAAGCAACAGCCAUGCAUUCGGGAAAGGAACUUCAGUGUUGUGUGGCUCAGUCUCCAGACCUAACUUUCCCUUUGGUACAGACGCGGUGGUACAUGCCUGUAAUCCCAACACUUAGGCAGGAGGAUCACUCGAGCCCAGAAGAUCAAGACUAGUGUGAGCAACAAAAUCCUUCCCUGGCACCGGUUCCAGGAGGACCUCGUUCUUAGGCAGCAUCUGUGUCUCUGUUUUGUAAGACACACAGAGUAUCCUUAACCCACUGCAGAUAUUUCCCUGGGUCCAUGGUCAAUCAACACCACCUUUCAGUCUCCAGCCUCUUAACCAGCCCAGGGCUGAGUGUUGUUUAUAGUAUUAAUAUGUUUCUGGCUGGGCUCAGUGGCUCAUGCCUGUAAUCCCGGCACUAUGGGAGGCUGAGGCAGGCGGAUCACUUGAGGUCAGGAGUUCAAGACCAGCCUGGCCAACAUAGUAAAACCCCGUCUCUACUAAAAAUACAAAAAUGAGCCGGGUGUGGUGGCGUG
rnacentral:lncRNA from 10 species